GGGGGCGGGGGAGGAGGUGGUGGAGGCCGCCAUGUUGAUGGCGUGGGACGCUUUUAGCUCGGGAGGAGCGGCCGGGGAACCGGGUUAAGAUGUCGGAAAAGGGAGAGGGUGGGGGUCAGGUGUUGGUUCAGGGGGCGGAAAGAGCUUGUGCGAGGAGGUGAGAGGGAAGGGGGAGGUUGAGGAGGCGCGGCGGGUUGUGAAGGGCCCCGAAGGACAUCGCGUAGCGGCCCCCUCAGGGCCCGCCGGCUCUUGGUACAGCAGCGUCUCUGCGUGGCGGGAGCGAGGUGGGAGUCUGUUCCUGGGGCUCGCCCCCCUUUGCGGGCCGGAGGGGGGCCCUGCGGCCCGGCAGCGGGGCCCUGAGGCGGGCGGGCCGAGGCGGCGCGGGAGCGGGGCCCGCUGAGGUGGGUCUGUGGAAGGAGCUGGGGACGGGACGGACGCUGGAAAGGGGCUGCCCGUCGCGGUUGUGAGGGCAGGUUGGCAGGCGGCCGCGGGGCUUGUCGCGGCUGGGAUGGGGCUAGGUGUGGAGGGGGAGGCUGCUGCGGGCGGCGGGAAGCCGGGGCGGCUCCGGCGGCCCCCGGGGUUGGGCCCGUUGCAGCCUCCGGGGAGGGGGGGCCCGUGCGGGGGCUGGAGCUGCAGAGGCGUUCGGCCUCUGCCUGGGAUGAAGUACAGGCUGUGGUUUAGAGAGCAAGGCUGAGUUCUUGGCCUGGCCUUGGUGGGGCAGGCCCUCGGCAGGGAGCGGGCUGGGACGUACCCUUGUCACACGCCAGGUGACAGGCUGUGCUUGGGCUCUUUUAAGGGUUGUGGCUUCCGUGUGAUGUCUUAACUGCACUAACGGUGUUUGGCUGUCAUACAUAUGUGGCUUAGUGUGACCAGCAGGAGGAGCUUUGCUCCCUCCUAAAGGCAGCUGACCUUGGUAUGUCCAUAGGGACAUGAACCAACGUUGAAAAAGCUCAGAGAAUGGAUGAGACGGUGUAAGACCUCUCAGCAUGGUAUGGGAGCAGCCAAGCUAAUUUGCUUCCCUGUUUUUUUACCUGUUGCUUGCUGUCUAGUGGUGGCAUGGCUUAGCCAGCUGACUAGGUGCUGUCUGAGUUUCAGCAUACCCUAUGGCUGGCGUCUAGGAGGUUGGCUAGAUUUUGAGCAUCAGGUUGUACACUUUCUUGUACUGAACAUCAUCCCUGCUUGUGCUAGUCUCUGUGUCAGGGAAUGGGAAACGAUUAAGUAAGUCUCUGUUAGGCUUAAGAGGACUGGAGUUCCCUGAAAUAACGUGUGGAAGACCUUUAAUCAAAACUGGGACAGAGGACACUCAAAUGUUUGCAUGGCUUGUGAAAUAACACCAUUUCUAGUUACAGCUGAUUCCUGUGAAAUAAAGUGCUUUAUUACCUCAAGAAGAUACUCCAUUAAAAAGAGUUGUGAAGAGUUUCAUGGGCUUGCUGGAAGUCUUGGCUAAAGUCCACUAGUGGUAUAGUUCAGGAAAAAGGGGGUUACAAGUUUUUAUUUCAUACUUUGGCUCCUCCUGGAGGUAAGUACAAUGCAUUUGCUCAGGAUAUUGUCUCACAAUAACUACAUGGGUAUAGUAGUCUGUUUACCCCUGGAUGCACUUGAAUGAUGGAGGAAGGAUGUCAUGAAAUGUUCUGUGACACAGUUACAAAUCACUUAAUCCGAACCUUGCAGCCUUUCAAGAUUUGUUGAUACUAUGACAAUGUGUGCCAUCUUUCAUCUCUUUAAAUCCAGCUCGCUCCAUUUAAAGAAUCCAUACCAGUUGCUUGCCUUCCCCAUUCUCCUGUAAAAUGUCUGGUGUCCUGGGACAGGAGGUGCUUCUUCCCACCCUCAGUUUUGCCAUAUUCAUCACUGAAGAAAAAGAGUGGAGACAUUAUACUACUUUGUUGCUACUAAAACUUUUAGUAAUAGUUGCAUACAUCUGAAAAAUCUGGAAUUGCAAGUACAGCCCCCUUUUUCUUUUCUACUUCUGAUUCUUCUCUACACAAAUACCUUUAGAUUAGGUGUGCUGUGGGCACAAAAAAGGGACAGUGGCAUGAUGACUUCCGUCACAACGUUUACCCACAGUAGACUUUAAGCCUAUGCUUGUGUCUGCAGCUGAUGCCAAGUAAUGAUGGUAAGUGUUGCAGUGGGAUAAUUGGAGGGGAGCUUGCUUGUCUUUUCUAUAUCUGGCAUAAAACACGUAUGUGAAAUCUUCAUCCAGGAUAAGUCUGCUGACCUAAUGGCAGUAUGCUUUGUUAUUUACACUGGUUUAGAAACAAUUGGUGUCAUGUGCAUUUGAUUCCCUCUCUUUCUCCUUUCCCUCCUUGUUUCAGUGCUGCUGCUCGGGGGAGGAGACAAGGAUGCAUCCUGCUUUACAGAGAACUUUAUUCACUGUUUUUACCAUGUUUCGUUAUCUGAAGAUGUAGAUGCUACUGGUGUCUCAGCUAAGAGUUGCUGUAGCAUAUUGAAAUGUAGAAAAAAAGGAACUGACUUCAGAAACUUCAAAAACACACCCAAAUGAAUGCCUGAUGCGAGAGACAAGUAAAAUAGUUUUCCGUGAGUGUGUAGUUCACUUUCAUCAGUUUGGGGGUGUCUGAUACUUCUCAGUGUAUGGGUCUUACUCAUUGAUCACAACUUGUCAGAGAUGGUAAUGACGAAACCUGUGUUACAUGGCUCAAACUUGGAUACUCUGUUCACCUGAAAGUGCUAAUGUCCCUAACUCUUUUCUGACCCAGCAGGUCUUAAUUGCAAGAUCUGCAAGGAGCUUACAGUCCUGUUGCAUAAAUAAGUGUUGUGUCAGCACUUCAUAUGAAAAGACAUAAGGUGAUGAUAGAAUUGAAAGCCUGCCUUCAGCAUUUCAUAAAUACGUGGGUGUAUUCUGGUUUAAUACUGUGAAUGAAAACUUACUCCAGUGUCUAUAUGGUCCUGAGCCGAUGAAGCUGUUAUGUUUGAAUAUACUUGGACUACUAUGCUGACAUCCUACACUGCAGAAACUAUGGGUUGUCUUUGUUACUAAAGUGAUUUUGGUCACUGUGGACUCAGGUAAGUAACCACCCGGUGUCCUGAAAACCAAGAGAAGCAGUUGGGAGACCCUGCAGGAAGGAUGCAGAAGAUAAGGGUAAGUAGGAAUGUGUGAUGCCUUUGCUCAAAGAAGAAAUGGCUUAAUCUCAGUUUAAUCUAAGUUCAUAGGCAGAAACCUGGCUUCGUAUCUCAGCUUUCAUUCUGACAAGUUCUUCCUCGUAAUGAAAACUUCAGGGAUUUGGAUGCUCUAAAUUGAGCUUUCACUGGAUAGUAUACCAAAACCAGCUCUGCAGUUUGCAUGAGAGAUACAUGAAUUUAUGAGAUUAAGUGUACAAAUAUGGUAUGUGUUAACAUAAUUUUUAAGGUGUCUGAUGUUCUGCUGUCAUGGGGUCAACAUCCAUGUCAGUGCAGCAUGGAGAACUGGCAGGAUGUUGGGAUUCUCAGUUCUUGCAAAUUAAUUGUCAGGCCUUACAUAAUUCCUGUAUGCAAAUUAGUUGGAUGAAAAGAUUUUCAUGUGCACUCAAACAGUAUGGUUUCUAAGGGUGAUUGAUACGAUCUAUGCUAGUCUUGGCACGUAAGUUUAGUUUUGAAAUCCCAUUUUCUUAAUUACCCAGCUAUAAAACAGUUGUCCACAGUCUCCUUGGAGGAAGGAGGAGAGUUGAAGUGUCACUGACCAACUGCUUGCUUCAAAGCCUAUGGGGGAAGGGUGUAAACUCUAACAUCAAAGUUACUGCUUAGAUUCUGGAGGCUGGAGAAGCUGCUAUGAAGGUUUUUUGUUUGUAAUUGUCUCCCAUGAAGCUAUUUCCCAAAGAGUUACUGGAGGUGCAAGGUGAAAGGUGAGAAUGUGAAUUCAGCUGGGUAGAAUGGGUAAGUACUUCUAUAUUGUGUUAUUGUUUCCAAGUAUCUUAAUGGUGACAAUACAGAAAAAUACAUUGUGUUGUCUACUUUGUUCUUGAACAGGGAGAGCUUGGAAAAACAGGUAAGAGUGGAAGGCUUCUCUGUCUUUUUAAGUGUUCUCAAUGAAAUUUUGGGGAGGCGGCUGUUAAACCAGUUUCUGGAAGAACCUAGUAUUCCUGUAUAGCCAAAAAAGUUUGUAAAGCUUCUCUGGAAGUAAUUCUAGUGACUAAUUAUAAAGUGUCAACUUUUUUUAUCUUUCAGCACAAGAGGAGUUCUCUAAGAGCAGUCAAGAACCUCUUCAGGUAGCAUGGACAUGUUCUUCAACUGAAACAUGGCAGCAGUUCAGUAGCACUUACACAACAGGAAAGGGUGUGCAGGCUACUGAAGUCACUGGCUUCCUAAGAACUGGUAUCUGAAAGAAAUCAUUCUGGUAGAGAGAGAAACUUGGGUUUCUUCCACAACUUUUAACUCCCUUGAAUUUGAAUGAGAGCUCAUCUAAUACUGAAACAGGAGAUUACUUUUAUUGUAGAUACUGGAGAAGGGCAUUGGAAUAGGGGACUUAAGUGCUAGUCAGGGCACUGUGACAGGCCUUGGAAGAAGAGCAGGUAGUUUGAGUACAAGCGACUCUAGUUGUGGGAAGCUCCCUUUUGGGAAGGCAUACUAGCUGUGGGGGAAGCUUGCUAAGUGGAGACUUGGAAGUGCAGUAUGUUCUGCUGCUGUUUCUUGGCUGCAUAUGGAUCUCUCUCUUAAGGUGGGAUGCCCUGAGAUGACCACUGAAGACUACAGGGUUGUAGGCAGACCCCAUUUCUCUUCAGAGCAUCUGUGCAACUGUCCAGUUUAGAACCACCUAAAUGGCUUCAGUUUUCAUCAGACGAGUAUUUCCUGAUUAAUAGCUUUGCUUGGUCCACCUAACUCCUGCAGAGCUAUUUGGCUGAAUGCAGCAGUGCUCUGAACGUAAGAAGCCUUCCCCACCUGUGGAUUGCUGGAGACUGGAACACAAACAUGACUCAUACGGGCUCCAGGGCUGAGCGUAAAUCCUUUGGUUGCUUGUGUUCUAGCUUUAGUAUACACAACGGGUGCAAGUGAGUGCUUGUGCGUGGAACAAGAAAACACUUGGGCUGUGCUGGCUCAUAUGUACUUUGGUGUGCACUGCCCUCUUCAGCACAGAACUUGAUAAAACCAUGUAUUGCAUAAAGCAGGUGGGGAUGGGUUAUGCUAGGUGUGGACCUUGCGCAGUUGCCACUAAUCCUUGGAAAGCACUUAUUUAUGUUGUGUGGUGGUAAACCCGAGUUGGUAACUGAUACUGUUCAGCCGAUGUGCAAGUCUGUGCCAGACAAGUAGUCCAUGAGUUCACAAAUCCUCAAGCGUACUCUUUUACUCCAUUUAAAACAAAAAAAAAAAAAAAAAAAAGAGGGUUGCAGCAGGGAAUUUUUUUAAAGGGUCACAUAAACUCUACUGAAAUUAAAAGCCCACUAAAAAUAUCUUUGUGGAAGUAAUACAUUUUGGGAAAUGACGAGUGCUGUGUCAAAGGCAACGUGAGGCUUUAGUUAAUGGCAAUCUUCCAACACUCUUGUCCCAGUUUUUGUUGUGAGGUUCAUAGGGGAAGAGUGUUGGACACAGGGAGAGUGUGAAAGCUGUAACCACAGGUAAAAGUUGAAUUUUAGCAACUGGAAUUUAGUGUCAAAUUAUGCACCAUUUUCUAAGGAAUUCCUGCAACUAAAUUGAUAACGCCGGAGUCCCUGAUCACGCAUGCUAGUGUUCUCAGGUUCUCCAGCUAUUUGGAUGCAGUGGUGCAAAAUUAUAUGUUGUUUCCUAUAUGAUUCACCUUAAAAUGCAAGCUUUGGCAGCGUGAGUACCUAAACAGUAUUACAGUCAGCAUUCCUUUAUGCACACAAACAAUUUCCUUUUGGGUAAGUAACACUGCACUGUGAAAAAGCACACAACUCCAGGGAGAGCAUCAUUUGAUAGUGUCUCCUGUGCCAGAAUUCCCUGGGUUUGCUCCUCUUCCUCGCCUUGGAUUCUGCUGUUUACCCAAACUUUAAGCCUUUCUGUACAUUAUCGCUGGUUGGCUCUCUUCCACCAUCUGAUUGUUUUUUACCAUUUCUCUGCAAAUACAUCUUCCUGGAAAACGGGUACCAACAGUAAGUAUCUCUGGUUCCUGGCCAAGUUUCCACUCACAUGGUUUCACUUGCUCUGUCAAGUUAUUUACAUGCAGUGUUCUAAGGAUGUAAUUUAGCGGACUGCUAGUAAGCAGCUAACCUUUAUGUCUUGGCCCCAGUCCACAUAGGUCAGGUUUACACAAGCCUGCUUCCUCACGAUGAGUUCGGUGGCUACUCUUACAGCCCUUGGUUUCCUGUUGCAUGACUUUAUGAAAAAGAUAGUGUUAGGCUGCUCUCUGAGCCUUGAGAAAGGACAUGCUAGGAUUGCUCACUUUACCUACUGAGUUGCAUGAGCCAGAAUCUCUUCUGAAUCUUGUUCUUCUGCAUACACAAGACCUAAGGCUGUCAAGGUGAGAAGGUUACGUUUUUCGUGUCUUAAUAGGUCUGAUGUGCCACAAUAGAGGAGAGGGUUUUCAAAACCAGCAUAGAGGUGUGAAGCUCCAUAUUUAAGCUGCCUAGCUCAAAGUACAGUCUUAUUCUCAGGUUCUGGAUUUCUGCAUAUCAGAGUUGUUUUGUAUCCAGUGGAGCUGCCUUGGGCAUGCAUUUGCAGGAGUCGCGUUACCUGAGCUCCCUGCUUUGAGCUUUCAGAAAAUACAGUUGCACGGUGCAGAGCCUGUGGUUGCAUUGCUGGUUGAAGGAGUUCAGUGUUGUCUUUUGCCCGUUGCCUCCCUGUGCCACAGUACACCAUUCCCUUUCAUGUGAACACAGCUAUCUGAAAGGGCACGGUGAGCUAUCAGUGUCUUAAUCAGGGUGUUGACGCACCCUCCCUGCCCUGUGUAUGCUUUUCAGUGACUCAGUGACUUCAUUGAAGCAGAGAAGGUUUGCAGUUGUGCAGCUUUCUAAAACCUGGAUCAGAUUAGUGAUACGGUUUAGAGAAUUUGCAACAUAGCACUAAAAAUAGGUGGCCAGGUGCACAGUAGAAGUCAGAAGUUCUUGGGCUUGUUCCUGAAGUCUCUGUCUCGUUAAAUCAUGCCUCUAAGGAUGCGUUUGACUUUGGGGGGGGAGGAGCCACAGCAGCAGGGUGUCCAUUGUGCAUGUGGAUGCUUUUGUUAACCAUGUUUUUCUGCUUUAGGUCUCAUGACCCAGUCAAAUGUUUCACUGUGUGUAGCCUUCUGACCAGGCAGCGGGAGCUUGAGAAACCCUGAUGUCUGUAAGCAGCACUCGUGAUUGCUAGAUGCAGUCCAGACAAAUGCCAGUGGGAGAGGAGAGCAAGAGUAAGAUGCGGACCAGUUUUCCCUUAAGUUUGGGUUUUUUUGACUGUUACAGAGAGUACCAAUGUGUUCUCUUAUGCUGGAACUAAUUUCUUACAUUUAGGGAGUAUUUACCCCUGCACACAUUGCCAAAUAUCCCUUUUACAUUUAAUGGCAGAGUAGGUCUGCAAAAAAGAGAAUUGGGUACUAAAAUGUUUCACAUACAGUAGACAAAAAGCCUAGUCUCAGUUUUCCACAUCAACGUUUUUGCAGUGCUCCUGAUAUGAGUCAAGUCAGCUUCACUACUGUGAACUCUUGCAAUGCAAAUAUGAUUUACUGCCUCCAUUCUGAUAAUGGCGAAUGUUGUCUGAUGGGGACAAUGUGGUGGCAGCUGCUUCAGAGUGAUGUGCAGUGGCUUCGCUGUACUUGCUCCGCUUUAGCGAAUGUCAGCUAAAAUAGUAAUUGCGUCCCCUAAGAUUUAGAUUACUGCUGCUGAUAACCUUUGUGGAAAAACAAAUGAGGGGAAAUAGAGGCAGAUGCAAUCCUCACAUGAAUUGACAGAAGGGUGUUGCACAGCCAAGUGAGUACUACGUCUCACCGGGAAUGAAGGGCAGUCAUGCUUUACUAGCUCAUGUCAGUGAGGUCCACUUAGCCUCCUGCAAAUUCCUGCCCACUGAAAGCUCUUCUCAUCUGCAGGGUAGAUUGUGACUGGAGCAACCGCUGUUGCAGUGCUGCCUCCUGGAAACAAGUGGGUUAUUUGUCUGUGGAUUAACCUUGUCAUGAGUACUGAGGCAUGUGACAUGCUUGGCCGUGGAAGCAGGUAUGUGUGGGGUCUCUCACAAGUUUCUGUCAACACUUAAGUGUUGCGGCUCUCCGGAAUGGAUAACGUUGCUGCCAUUCAUUCUGAGUGGCGUUGCAGCCUUGUUCACAUGGGUUUGACGGUAUCUCAGAUAUCCUAGCCUUUCGCUAUAGUCAGUUCUCUGUAAUCUGAAGGUAAAUUUAGGUGCAAAUCAUGACAGCCAAGAUGCUGGGUUUGGAAUAUGCCUGCCUCCCUGUAAUACUCAGUCGUGCUCUCUGGUAUGGGUGGAUCUGCCGCUUGGGUACAGUUGAUUUACCAGUCUUACUUCUCCCAAAGGAAGUGUGCACGCUGAAUUUUCCCUGUGCUGUGGUAGUGCUUUACGUGCACAAGCUCCAGGUAAUGUUCACCUCUGUGGGAUGCAAAGGGAUGGCUCUCUCAGUCUUCCCUGAAUUUACUGCUCAGUGUUCAGUGACGUAGCAGGGAAUGCAAGGCACUAUUUUGCUCCUGUCCACCACCCACAAAUGCCGUUUGGUUUUGGUGACCCUUUUGUUUCUGGCUAACACAUAGGUGUUAAGGGAGGUUUUGUACCAACACACAGGUUUUCCAAACUUUGGGGUUUUUCCUUCUCUGUAGUAUCUCCCUGUCACCUGUACAUAGUACAUCGCAGUCAGUGAUCCAUCUGUAGGUUAUGCCCUGAUGUGUGUGAGCAGUCCUGGGAUAAUUCCCCACUUGUUCAGCUGCGUGGAGCUGGUGAUUCCGGUUGCUGCAGGAUUCUAGCCAUUGCAUGCCAUCAUCAUAAAGAAGAAAAAAGAAAGCUUAGAGGAAAGAGCCCUUCAUUUCUUCUUGUCUAUUGGCAUGUCCUGAACGGCUCCAGAGCUGGUGCAGGGGUCUGAUCAGAUGCUGCCCUCCCUCCAUCCCCUGACCUGGGUGGUGGGACAGCAGCACCCUGUGGUGGAGGAGGUGAGGGGACACCAGUCUCAAGAGGUGCUGUCUUCUACCUUUGUCACUUACUGUCCAUGUGGCUUCUAUGUCCCCCUUCCUGAAGCUCAUUCCCAUUCUUGUUUGAAAACAGCUGCUCUAAUAUGACCCUUCAGCACAAGUAGUCUUUAGAUACAGGAGGCCAGGAUGUGUCUUGGUGUGCCAUCGGAUGAACUUUUUUCAAGUCCUUAUGUAGUUUGUAACAAAGGGGACAUUAAUGUGGGCAAGGUCCAAGAAAUACCUUUGUAGAGUCUUGUGUGUGACUUCUGCUAAAUUUGAUAAAGUCUUCUCUUUAGUGGCACCAUGAUCAGAUAUUCUUGCAUGGCCCUAUCGUGGUGGUCUUGCAUUAGGGUUUUGAAAUGCUCUGCUAAGUAAGAAGGCCCUGGUGAGCUCACAAUGUGAAGGUGGCUCUACGCUUUUUUCAAGGGUCCUUCAGAGCAGGUGUUGGUGGGAAGAACACGUUUGACCCUUUUCCAUUUUUUUUUAAGUAGAUGUUUCAGCUUCAGAGAAUCCUUACAUAUUCUGUGUUACUUACAAUCAAUUACAUUUCUCCAUUUAAUACAAAUAUGACCAGUUUUAUGCAAAGGCAUAUAAAUGACAUUUCUUAGUAGGCAUUUCUUCCAUGUUUUAUAUUACAGCUGCAUGUAUCCACAUUAGAUAAGUCAGGAAUAUUUGAAUAACAGAUGCUAAAUUGGGUCAUAAACCACAAGAGUCACUGAGCUCAGACUUCAGAGGAACUGGAUCCUCUCCUGGUACAUUCACUGGGCAAAUAAUUUAUACCUCAGGAUCAUCUUUUGCACUGGAGGACAUCUGUGUGAAUAUUUGGCUGCUGCUACUCCAGCAUCUCUUACCUCUGGGACAAAUUCUUUCUUCUGGUUCCCAUUGAAUCUUGGGGCGGUGGUUGGGGAAGAGAUCUAAUAACACUUUAAAGGUAUGUGGAAGGUGCUCUCCAUGUGCUGAGUUUCAUAUUUUUAACCUUUACAUUUUAAAAAUUUGAAGUAGCACCUUCCAUUUCCUAAACUGAUGACACCUGAAGAUAAAUAGAUCUCUACAGCUAAUUGCCUCCAAUACAUCAAAGACAGAAGUGCCAUUUUGCAGAUACCCAGUGAAGAUGCAGAAGCAUGGUAUUGCUGGGAACCGACCAAUCACCACUAAAAUACAAUAGUGCCACAACUUGUCAGCAGGCUGAGCAAACCCAGCCCUUCUUAUAAUGUUGUGCCUACAGUGUUCUGUCUAAAAACUAUUAGCCCUUGGAAAGCUAGUUGACAAUAUUUUAAAGAGGAGAAUCAAAUACUUAACGGUACCUCUAUAGGGUUCUCCCCAUUUUAAUGCACUCAUAAAUGUAGCCAAAUACCACUCCCACUUAAUAAAGAUUGUAUUGGAAGGCAGCUGUAGAUAAAAUGUAACUUCUUGAACCAGUUUUAAUUACUCAUCUGUUUUCAGAGCCAGUUUGUGGCAUCAGUGGAUAUGUUCAUAUUUCUAAGUCCAAGACAUAAAACGGCUUUGUGUUAUUUCUUUAGAGAACAGCAAAAAAUCAUAAAAGGAGCCCUGAUUUUCAAAACGGGAACAUUAGAUUUGCAUUUUAUUUUAAAUAAAAUGAAUGCAUGCGUGUGCUUAUACAGUCAAUGUUCAGGCAGGGUUUGUGGUUGACUAGCCCAUCUGUUGUGCCUAGAGAGCAGCGAAGAGAACGCAGAUUGUGUUAGCAGUCAUAAAUCCCUGUCUUUGUAUCUUGUCCCCCAUCGCAGACUCUCCUAGGGAUGUGGCUGCAAGUUUCAACCUGGGAAGGGCAGAGUUCCCCCAUUGCAGACCCCCUGGCACCUGUAGUGCUAACGGGCAGAGAGGGUCGCGGUCCCUCUGUCUCCCCGGCUCCCCACCGCUCGGGUCGCACCUCUGAAGUCUUCGGUGCAGCCAAAUACUACGUGGUGCUGCAAAAUGCACGUCAGAGGUGUUGAUCUCUGCUAGCUUUGAAAUGAGAGAGGCUGCUCUAGCUGCUAGUCCACUGUACUUGUGGGUCUCUGCCAGCAGAGGGUGGCUCUAAGACCGUUUAUACAUUGCUUUAACGUUUAAACACUUUACAGGCUGAAUAUUGAGCCUGAUGACCUUAGGGCUUCCUUUAUUUCCUAAUACUCCAUUUAUCUUUAGUUAGUAAUUGUAAGAAAUUAAGAUUUUCAUUUGGGCUUUUCCUCACUGUUUAUUUUGCUUUGGCAUUAUUCUUCCAGAUGAGAAUAGCCAAACAUAAUUAAAUUUAGGAAGACAGGUUUGAGAUAAUGUUGCUAUUGAUUGGGACCUACGUCAGUCUAGGACCAAAGCAUUUGAAAUAAAUAACUCUGUGAAUAAGUUGUCAGCGUUCUAGUGUUUAAUAGGGUUUGAAACCUAAGACAUUAGUAGUGAAUGGAAUUCAUCUGGCCAAGCUUCAGACACCUAACAGAUGCCCAGUCUGUGCUUAGGCUUUCCUUACACUCCGUGGAGAGGACUGCACACAUCCCAAGGUUGAUUUCUAUACCUCUUAACCUGAUUUAGGAAUCGGUUUACAGAACACAAGCUAGCAGGAGCCUGAUCCCAAACAACGUUUGCGCAUGUAUAAUUAUUCUCAUGUGGAGUCCCACCAUGUGCGACAGUUAAUGACUAGACAGUUAAUUAUGUGAGUAACUAUUAUGCAGGAAUGGGCUCAAUUCUCGUGCUUGUGUUACAGGGAGACUAAUUUGUCUCUUGAGGUGUCUGUUCCUUUCUGUUGGCUACAGAGGGAGCAGAGGUUAGACUAGCUCAAAGUUAGAGUUCUAACCUACACAUCUACCUGAGAUACAUCUCACCCACGGUGUCUACAGGCUGGUGUUACUAAUAUUGGGUAAUACUCUGCCUCAUCUUUAAAAGCCUGUAGACACUUAAUAGAUUUUAUGGAUCUGAUUUCACAUCCAAUGGCAUAAAGUGCAACAGUUACUUCUGUAAUUAGUAGAUAGUCAUUAACUUCUCUGAAAUCAGUGGAAUUCCACAUGGGACCAAUUGCACAUGUAUAAGUAGUUCAGGCUGUUGUCGACUGGAGAUCUGUUAGGAAGCUGUACAUGAUAAAAGGUAGUAGUAAGUGAUGAUGGAAAAUUUAUCAUGUUCUAAUAUAUAGUGAUUUAUAUUCUCUGUUAGAUGGUCUGUUGAGAAUUCUCCUGCACGUAUUUAAGUAGUUUUAAAAGGUUUAAAUAAAAAUUCCUGUCAGUGAUUUCAGUUUAUUUACUGCUCAGAACCUAUGUUUUCAAAACAGAACUCCUAUCUAAAGUUCUUUAAUUUAAAAAAAAAAAAAAAAUGAGUAUACCAGCAGUCUUCAUUUUGAACUGUUUGGAAGUAUAGCACAGGUGAGGCCUUAGUAUCUACCAGGGUGGGUAACAUUCCUCUCUGCAGAAAUAGAGCAACCCAGUGACCAACUCAAGCAAAAGAUGGAAGAGGCAUCUUCCAUAAUGGCUACAAUCAGCAGAUAACCUCUGGCUUUCCCUUCCACAAAACACAGGCAAUACCAAACACACGAGUGGGAUUUGCAUCCUCCUCUUCUGCAGGGAUCAAGCCUUUUGAACCAGUUUCCAAAAA